AUGGCCGACGCGGGUCAAAGUGUAGCAUCUGUUCUUAUCAGCUUAAUAUCGGAUACGGGUUGUAUUUGGACCGAAGAUAAUAAAAUUUUGUUUGCAGGUGGGCGGAGUACGUGCUUGAAGCCUGCUUCACCUCCGCCGCGGGUCGGCCCGGUAUUGCACUAUCUUCGGGAUUUUUUGUCUACGGACA